UAUGUUAUGCUUGUUUUAAAUGUAGAGAAAAUACGUUUUUGUUAUACUUAUUUGUUGUUUAGUUUCUUGUUAACUCGUACUCUUACUCGUGUAAGCUAGCAGCCGAAUACCUCUUGGCCACACCAGUUGCGUGUGUGUUUUUUAAUCUUUCUCCCGCUACUAUUCCCCUUUUUAAGGGUGAUUACCGAUUGCAAAGCAAUAUAUAUUUACACAUGUUGAUUGCGUUUUUCCUUAUGUUAUGCUUGUUUUAAAUGUAGAGAAAAUACGUUUUUGUUAUACUUAUUUGUUGUUUAGUUUCUUGUUAACUCGUACUCUUACUCGUGUAAGCUAGCAGCCGAAUACCUCUUGGCCACACCGUAGGAUAUGAGAAUGUUGACGGGUGUUAAAGCGUGUUACUGCUUCAUUUAUAUAUAACUAUAUAUUUACACAUGUUGAUUGCGUUUUUCCUUAUGUUAUGCUUGUCUUAAAUGUAGAGAAAAUACUUUUUUGUUAUACUUAUUUGUUGUCUAGUUUCUUGUUAACUCGUACUCUUACUCGUGUAAGCUACCAGCCGAAUACCUUUUGGCCACGCCGUAGGAUAUGAGAAUGUUGACUGGUGUUAAAGCGUGUUACUGCUUCAUUUAUAUAUAACCCUAUAUAUUAUUCAAUUAUAUUAUUCAAUUAAUAUAUUGUGUUUAAUACAUGUCAUGAUAUUUGUGGUCCUGGAGCUGAGUGUGCGUGUGUAUGCAUUUGUCUGUUGUUUGUAUGCGUUGUGUAAAACCUGAUUUCAAAUAAGACGAGUGAAGGAGAGUUGCGUGUGUGUUUUUUAAUCUUUCUCCCGCUACUAUUCCCCUUUUUAAGGGUACAACAG
ensembl:lncRNA